GGUCAAGCGAAUAAGAGCACAUGGUGGAUGCCUUGGCAAUGAUAGGCGACGAAAGACGUGAUAGCCUGCGAUAAGCUUCGGGGAGCUGGCAAAUUAGCUUUGAUCCGGAGAUUUCUGAAUGGGGGAACCCACCGAAAGGUAUCGCAUACUGAAUACAUAGGUAUGCGAGGCGAACCGGGUGAACUGAAACAUCUCAGUAGCUCGAGGAAAAGACAUCAACCGAGAUUCCGAAAGUAGUGGCGAGCGAAAUCGGAAAAGCCUGCAAGUGAUAGCAGGACUCUUAGCAGAACAGCAUGGAAAGGCUGGCCAUAGCGGGUGAUAGCCCCGUAUGCAAAAAGAGACCUGUGAUACUAAGCUUGCGACAAGUAGGGCGGGACACGAGAAAUCCUGUCUGAAUAUGGGGGGACCAUCCUCCAAGGCUAAAUACUCAUCAUUGACCGAUAGUGAACUAGUACCGUGAGGGAAAGGCGAAAAGAACCCCGGGAGGGGAGUGAAAUAGAUCCUGAAACCGUGUGCUUACAAAAAGUAGGAGCCUCGAAAGGGGUGACUGCGUACCUUUUGUAUAAUGGGUCAGCGACUUACAUUCAGUGGCAAGGUUAACCGAAUAGGGUAGCCGUAGAGAAAUCGAGUCCGAAUAGGGCGAUCAGUCGCUGGGUGUAGACCCGAAACCAAGUGAGCUAUCCAUGGCCAGGAUGAAGGUGCAGUAACAUGCACUGGAGGUCCGAACCCACUAGUGUUGCAAAACUAGGGGAUGAGCUGUGGAUAGGGGUGAAAGGCUAAACAAAACCGGAGAUAGCUGGUUCUCCUCGAAAACUAUUGAGGUAGUGCGUCACGUAUUACCUUCGGGGGUAGAGCACUGUUAUGGCUAGGGGGCCGCUAUAGGCUUACCAACCCAUGGCAAACUCCGAAUACCGAAGAGUAGAAGCGCGGGAGACAGUCCCCGGGUGCUAACGUCCGGGGACAAGAGGGAAACAACCCA
rnacentral:rRNA from 1 species